CAGCCGCCACGGGAAUGCGUAGGGUGCGAGCGUUAAUCGGAAUUACUGGGCGUAAAGCGUGCGCAGGCGGUUAUAUAAGACAGAUGUGAAAUCCCCGGGCUCAACCUGGGACCUGCAUUUGUGACUGUAUAGCUAGAGUACGGUAGAGGGGGAUGGAAUUCCGCGUGUAGCAGUGAAAUGCGUAGAUAUGCGGAGGAACACCGAUGGCGAAGGCAAUCCCCUGGACCUGUACUGACGCUCAUGCACGAAAGCGUGGGGAGCAAACAGGAUUAGAUACCCCCGUAGUCCCUGUCUCUUAUAC
rnacentral:rRNA from 1 species